rnacentral:lncRNA from 1 species
AGAGCACUCCUAACCCCCCGGGGCAAGGAGGGGAGGCCAGGCAGCCGGAAGGAAACUCCUGAGCUUUUUACGGAAUGCACAAGACAAAAGAUGGAGUUUUGCUCUUGUUUCCCAGGCUGGAGUGCAGUGGCACGAUCUUGGCUCACUGCAACCUCUGCCUCCCGGGUUCAAGCAACUCUCCUGCCUCAGCCUCCUGAGUAACUGGGAUUACAGGUGCCUGCCAUCACGCCCAGCUGAUUUUUGUAUUUUUAGUAGAGUUGGGGUUUCACCAUGUUGGCCAGGCUGGUCUCAAACUCCUGACCUCAGGUGAUCCGCCCGCCUCGGCCUCCCAAAGUGCUGGGAUUACAGUCGUGAGCCACCACGCCCAGCCUGAUCAUUCUUUUCAGACUCCAACAUAAAGUCAUUUUUCUGGUUCCUCUUAUUUCAAAUUUAAAAUGCUAAUGCCUGAGGAAAACUGUUUGAAUCUUGCAUGCGAUCCUACAAGGUUCUGUGUGUUAGUCCACGCCUCCACGUUAACUGAGCAGUGACUACCCGAAAGGCACUGGGGUGGACAUCGAGGACAAAGCAGUCAAUCUGACAGCUUCUUGCACUCAGGUGCUCAGAGUCAAGGAAGGUGACGCCGGCCCACCGAGGCUUGGAUUCGGCUUAUGUGGAGGAGGGGCAGGGGUGGUGGUGAAGUCUUCUUAGCUAAGACCGUGAAAUCUCAGGUGGGUCUUAAAGUACACGAUUUAGACUUUGUUAGGGAGACAAGGCUAUUAUGGGCAAAGGAACACUGUUGGGAAAAGCAAGGGAUUAUAAGAAUAAUGCUGUGUUUAGAGAUCAAAGAGCAGCUGGGGGUAAGUGAAUGUAGUAGAGGGGGUAGGAGCAGAGAGAGGAGGAGCGAUUGGGAAGUCGCCUCUGUCAUAAGGAGCCUUGGGCAUCAUGUGCAGAAGUGUGGACCUUGUUGAUGAAAAUCAGUGAUCUCUGCAAACCCCUCACUUCACCAUGACCUUUCUGUAGGGCUUCCCUGCCCACUGAUGGAUUCAUCAUCUCAUUGUGCGAUGCUCUGAAAGACCUGCAUAAGUUUGUGUUUUGGAAAAAUCCUUCAGGCUGCAACUUGGAGAACAAACAGAAACAGCAAUAGGCCAGUCACAAGGAAAUGCACUCAGACAAUUUUGCAAUAAUCCGGUUGAGAACUGUGUCUAUGAAACCAGCUGCAUCUGUCUCAUAGAGUGCAUGUCGGUACUGCCCUGCCACAGCCUGUGACGUGGAGCUUCACCUGGAGCCCAGACAACCUCUGCCUUGACUCCUGGUCUUUGUGGUCACUCAUCACCACCCUUAUCAGAACUCAUGUUGUUUAGAGAGGCCUUGACUGCAAUUUUAUCGCCCAGAUGGUCUGGAGCAUUCCCUUCGGUACACACAUGCCAGAGAAAUGGCAGGAUAUAUGAAGUAUGGCCUCAGGUCACCGGUGGAUGAAAUGCUUAGAGGGAAACAGGUUCUCUGUGUCUCAGCUGAGUUCGGGUCAGGCUUACCAUUUCUGGAUGUCAAAUGCGGUCCUUAUUGCCAUCCUUGUGUGAUGGGAUGGAUCAGUGGGGCUAGGGAGGCCUGCCUGUGUUAAUGUGAACACAAAGGCUUCCUGUUCAUGGCGUGGGAUGGCUUCGGACAUGUUUCUGCAGGUUUUUUGGCUGUACCUUGGUAGGUUCCUAUAUUACCUCACCCAGCCGAACAUCUGCUGGUGCCAUCCUGAGGGGUGCUAGAAGCUCCCGUGUACUCUGCAGGCUUCUACCUCCGAGAGACCAAGACCUGCCUCUGGACUUUGCCUCCAAAGGUUUAAAGCAGUUUUUGCCUGCAUGUCCUAGACGUUCAGUAGAAAAAGAUCUCCUCGUGCUCCAGCACCUUUGGGGAAACCAGAGGCUCCACAAUGCUCAGCAGUUUAAUUUACUGCAGGUCUUCUCAACAUCUUUAAUUCACAAUAUAUAUUGUGAAUCUGCAAGAAGGGGUAAGAGGGUGAAUAGUCCAUUUCCCACACCCAUUUGACCACGGAACUUCCUCCACUUCUGGCCUUGGUAGAGGCUCCUCCCCUGGGGAAGAGGAAGCACAGCUAAGGGCCCAGCCUCGCCUGGAGGAGAUGCUGAAGGGCAGCCAAGCUUGGUCUCCUAGACUUUAGGGGUAGGCGGGUGGUUCGGGAUAAGGAUCAGCAAUGUCUGGAUUUGCCUAGGGCAGUCCGAGCUCACACAGGUUGCCCCAGUAUAAUUAUAAUAAACUCCCUCUUUUUUCUCUCCAAAGGGUCCUGGUUUGGGGCAUCAAUUCUAUGAUCCUGGCCAUAGUCACCGCAGACCUAGGGUCCCGCCACUUGGCAUUUUGAAGCCCAAAGAGCAGCUCAUUGUUAGACUCUGCCCCUGCCCAUAACAUAGUCUGAUGUCAUCCUUUAACUCACCACUUGCUCCCUGACAACCUCUGAUAUUUGUCACUGGGUCCCAGAUUCUUUCCCCUUUAUUCAGCCACCAUAUUCAGCCUGGCAAAAUGCCUCACCUUUUCAAAAAUAAUUCUGCAAGGGGUUGGCAGGAAAUCGGUGCCCCUAAGACCCACAAACCUUUUGCGGUAGGUGUCUCUUCACAAUGCCUCAAGUCACAGCUUUUCUGGGCCUCCUCAGUGUGUGAACUUUUGGAGGCCUGUUGCCGAAUUGUUUGCCUGCAUCAUUCUUUCUCCUUGUUCUCUUGUCUCUUUUUAUUCCUGCUACCGAAACAGCCACCUUCCUGCUGUCAGAUGCUCCGAAGGAAUUUGUGUUGGAAAAUAUCAGGAAACCAUCCUGAUUUAGGGGAUGAGAGAAAUAAAAGAGGAAAAAGGCCAGCUGGGUGUGGUGGCUCACACCUGUAAUCCCAGAACUUUGGGAGGCUGAGGCAGGUGGAUCACCUGAGGUCAGGAGUUUGAGACCAGCCUGACCAACAUGGUGAAACCCUGUCUCUACUAAAAAUACAAAAAUUAACUGGGCAUGGUGGUGGGCACCUGUAAUCCCAGCUACUCGGGAGGCUGAGGCAGGAGAAUUGCUUGAACCCGGGAGGCAGAGGUUGCAGUGAGCCAAGAUCAGCCAUUGCACUCCAGCCUAGGCAACAAGAGUUAAACUCCGUCUCAAAAAAAAAAAAAAAAAAGAAAAGAAAAGAAAAGAAAAGGGCCAAGCAGGCAAGAAACCAAUAGAUGGUAAAUUAGGGAGAUCACAGAAUCCACUGAGAAAAAUAAGAGAAUUACAAAUUUAAAAAAAAUUUCAAAGGGGUAAGUAAUAGCCUAUUGAAUUUGACUUCAACUAUUGUUCACUUUUUUAAAAGUACUUCUGUUGGUAAAUUAACUUUCAAAAUGUCCGUGGUUGGCUUUCCAAAAUUCUUCAGUUGGAAACUCAAAGUAGAAAGAAGAUUCAUUGAAGAAAUGCUUUUCUUUUUAUUUGACACGAGUAAAUGGUGAGAAUUAUCUUCAAUAUUUGCAAAAGCCUCAAAAAAUCACCAGUGAAAAACACAAAAGGAAACUAGUAUCAAGUAUUUAGGAUCUCUUUUUUAUUAUAGACUGUUUUGGAUGUAAAUCCUACACACCCAAGUCUUACCUGGUUUUAAAUGUCCCCGGCAAUAGAGUUGCCACAUUUUCUUCACGGAUAUUUUGUUUAAUGUUCUUAAGUAUGUCCAGGACAGACUCCUAACUCCCUCUUUCUCUCCAAACAAACAAAAAAGAAACUAUUUUGUCUUUUAAAUUUAAUCUACUAAAAAAUUACUCAAGCUCUAAAUCUUAAAAAGUAACUGUCCCUUUUAAGAACCAUUUUGUACUUUUUUCCACCCCUCCUCAGCUGUAUAGCUUUGCUUUGCCUUCUUUAGAGGAUGUGGAAGAAGUAUUUUUUCCUCUUGAUUCUUUUGAAAGUAUGGGUUUGUUUGGCUUUAAUACUGUCAUUUAGGCGUUUCUUAUAUGUAUGUGUUUAUGGUAGUUUCAAAUUGUCCUUCAAACUAUAAUUUUCAGCUCAUUCACCUGUUGUAGAGUCUUCACGAUGAUUUUUCUCUGACCAAACUAAAUAAGAAUCAGACCAGAACCCAAGCUCAACAAAUCCAAGACAACUGAGCACAUUGGCUAGUUUCAUUAUCUAUGCGUCCCUCUGGUUCUCAGAAGAUAACUGACUAAAGUUUCUUUCCUACUGUUUCUUUUUUUAAAAAAAUAUACCUAUGCACAUCAACGAAUAUCAGUAUUUCAAGUUUUGUUUCAAAAGAUGCUUCAACUCCAUUAUGUAAAUCAUGACUUAAAAAUGUAAAAGAAAUAUUUGUACAUAGACAUUCAAAUCAAACCCUGAUUCCACAAGCUCCUCCUUAUUUUGUUGACUUUAUUUUUAAGAGGGAAGGCCAUUUAAUUAAAAAAAUUCUCCUUUACUUUCCUUGUUUCCCUGCUCCCUUCCCCCACCCCUCCGAUUGUCUCCUAGGACCAGGAAGUUUAUAUGUAAACAGAAGCCGUAAUCAGACCCCUGACCUCCUCCGGGCUUUCAACCCAAUGUUUCCACAGAGGGAUUAACCCCAAAUACCAACUUGCUCUCAGAGGCAAAAUUGUUCCCCAGGCGGGUAUCUCCAAAGGUUUUUCUUCUCUCUAGGCUUUCUCAUUCACCCUGCAAAUAAGUCUCCUCAAAGGGAGGCUUAAAGGCAGCCGCUGGAAAGCAAAUUGCCGGGCAGGCUGGAGCCAGAACGAGGCUGAGAAUUCUCUGGACCCUCAAGGCCCUUACUCCAUCCUCCCCGAGUUGGCCGAGUGGUUGUGUUGCCUUCCAGAUGCAUGGGUGCUAUGGGAAAGAGCCAGGUUGCUGGGUGUGUGUGUGUGUGUGUAUGCACGCACGUGCACACCUGCUUUUGGGUUUACACACUGGGAGUCUCAUGGACGGCUGGGCCUCAUCUGGGCUGCCUGGGCAUCUCAGGGAUGCUGGCAGGGAGGGGCUUUGGGAGUGGAUAGGUAUUCGUGUUCCCCUCUCAGGGGAGACAGGAGCAAUAGCACUGGCCUGUUGUACAAAACCACAGCUGUGCGCCUACAAGGCAAAUGUUUGCAAGUCUUUCUGUUUUAUUCUUCGCUGCAGGUCUUGUAAUGUCCACUCAGGAGGGAAUGCUUUGAACCGGGCAUCAAGCUCUGGGCCGGAUUCCAAGUCAGUCUAAAAACAGUCUGAGCUCCCCGCUCCCCCGACGCCCGGACAACCCCGGUCCCCUACUUGCUGGGCAGAAUGGAUAAAAAAGUGGGUUCUCCCUUCUGCCUGCCCCUCCCUCCUGUCGGGUCCUCACACUGCCUGAACAGCCCUGUGCUAAGCCAAGGCACGGACCAGACCAGGAGAUUUUCUUAUGGCAGAACAUCUUCUCCCCAUCUGGACCCCAGUGCUUUCUCACCAGAGAGACAAAGUAUUCAUAUUUUAAAGGCUCCACGUAGCAUGUCCAGAAAUUUCCCAUGUUCUUCAGCAGGGUAGGGGUGGGGAAAGGGCCCAAUGAGGCUACGGACUUAAUAGCUCCUAACAGCUGUGGAAAGUUUGAUGCAGCAGGAGCACCCAGACAGAAAAUUAAAAAACUAAUAAAGUCCUCAGUGUGGGGGCGCUGGCAUCAGGACAGCUUUACUUCUCCAGACACCUAAUAAAGAGACAUUCCGGGACACUAACUCAUAAGGGAAAUCCGCAGGGGUCACCGAGAACAGUGGAGAGCAAACCAUGGAAACACAGCAGUCACUCACAUCACUGCAGGGAAGUUUCGUUUGCUUCUCCUCUUUUUUCCCCCUUUUCUUCAGUUUAGAAAAAUGGCAGGGUGCUCAGGACCCAAAGAAAUACCACAAAAAGGGGUGAUUCCAGAAGUCCUGGAUGUAGAAACCUCACGUUCAUGGGCAGAAUAAGCGUGAGGCUGAUGUUUGACACUUCCGGUGAUGGUGGCUGCAGAGGGCAUUGAGAUGGGAAGGUGGUUUGGCUUCAGGAGGUAGCAGAAAAAGGGGGUUUUGAGAAUUGAGGUUUAUCCACCUGGAUUUUGUGAAGUACCAUCCUUACAGUGGGUUUUCUUUUGUGGAUUCUCCCACUGGGGAUACUUGGUCAUUUUGGAUCUGAGUUUCUUGUGGUCUGCUAGGUGAUGGGUUGCUGGUUGAGACUUUUGGUUUUGAGGGGCAUUUAUGUUAUUUUGACUUGGUUCUCAAGUUUGGCUGUCUAUUUGAAGAAAAAAUAAAUGGUGACUUUGGGCAUUCAGCCAAACCAUUCAUAGUCAGUUGUGGAGAGACUCCGUUGAGUUGGUGGUGCUUGUCUUCUCACACAGAUAAUGUACGGGUGUAAAAGAUGGAAGGAACGAAGCAGCCAGUUAAGAAAAGAGAAUAAAAAGUGGGGAAUAAGACAGAUAAAGCAUCUGCAGUGUUGAGUUCAGUUCAAGUUUUUGAGAGAAGCUCAGGUUAUUUAUCACUUUCUGCCCAUUAUUCCAGCUAAUUUGUAGUCUGGAGACCAGCAGUCAAACCUGUUCCUUGACAUUACCUGUCCACAGCAGUGUUUGCAACUGAGUAAUGUCACACUUGCUCUAGAAGAAUAUAGUUUCAUAUUGUGCAAAUUAGUGAAACGGCUUUUGCAUAUUGAUCUUAAGAGAAUCCUUGUAUAGAUUCUCUGAGGUCUCGUGGUGUGAGGGCAAGAGAACGGGAGACAGGAGAUCUGGGCCCAAUCCCAGCCAGCACUGCCACUAACGGGACUGGGUUGCUUGAACAAGUCACUUGCCCUGCACGACUCAGUUUCUUGUUCUGUAGGAUGAAGGGAGUGAGACAUAACUUCUAAGGCCUCUGGCUGCUUCCACACACUGUGAGUCCCUGAGGUUGGAAGGUUGGUCUCUGCACUGGAGUUCCUGGCUCUCCUGUGUUAGAAAGAGUGUUUUCUCCUGGCUUUCCAUUCAGUUGCGGCUUGGCAGAGGCAAAGCUGCAGUCUUUGGGUGUGUUGCAGGAGAGGUCUGUGGUUUUGUGAGCAAAAUGAAAUAUGGGCUUUUGAACUUCUCAAGUUCAGCAACCCUUUUCUGGCCUUUACUGUUUCUCUCUGGGUUUCUUUCUGUCUCUCUGUUUUCAUUAAAAAAGUUUUUUUUUUCCUCCAUGAGAAUAGUCCCAUAUUUUAAAAAAGAGCAAUGUUUCUGUGGGGUGGGAAUAGGCUACCUUCUAGUAGGGAACACUCCCUGAGGGAGGCCUGGGAGGUUGUGGCUCAAUCUGAAAGGAUCUCGACCAGUGCUUCGUAAAAUUUGCAGCGCAUGAGAAUCACUUGAGCAUCUUGUUAAAUGUGGAUUCUGGCUGAGUAGGUUUGGGUGGGACAUGAGUUCUGCAUUUCCAGCGAGCCCCCACGUGAUGCUCGCUCAUGGACCACACUUUUAUUACCAAGGCUAGAUGAUCCCAAGUCAGGCCUCCCCUGAGCUCCUGUAGAGUGGAGAACUCACAGGAUGGGGACACUGUAACCAGGUUCUUCAGCCUGGGGCUCUUCAGGCCUCUAGGUUCAGCCUCAGCCUAGAAUGAACCUGCAGUCAGCUCUUAACAUAGGGAAUCUUAUCCCCUGGAAGGCUGGGCUGUCAUAAACUGGCUGGGAAUCAGACUCUAUGGAGGUUCUUACUUUUGCUGUCUGACCCUCGAAUGGUUUUCUUUUUUCUUUUUUUCCUUUCUUUUUCUUCCCCUGGCUUUGGGAGAAGAAAAAUUGGACUGUGGGGUAAAGAAGAACAAUGCCUCAAUUAGCUAGAAAGCUACAGUAUUGAAUUAAAUGAGCCCCAUGCUAUGGCUCAUUAACAACAUCCUAUUACUUAGCAAGUCUAUAACUAGUGUUUCAGCUAAAGAAAGAAAUGUAAAUCAUUUAAUACACCUUUCCUAAUUGAGCUGUGCACCAGGGGCACCCUCCUAAUGGUAUUAUGGCACCAAUUACCUCAUCAGAAGAGAAGAGCUGCUUUUAUGACAGGUUUUGGAAAUUAAAAUGGCAGAGAGAUGUCUUUUAGGAGGAGUAAUUCUGGGCUGGGCUGUGCUGAGCAACGAGCAGGGGCUGAAAGGGCACGUGGGGCCCGGGUGCUAAAGGCGGGACGGUGACCCCUGUCUGGUCUGACCCCCAUCUUGGGGAUGAGAUCUGAACUUAGUCUUUUCAUACUGUCUGGUCAAGAAUGUGAGCCACAGUGGCUCUUGUACUUCAGUGUGUAUAAAAUCCACUGGGGAAGCUUGUUAGAAAUUUAGAUUCCAGGGCCCCACCCUGAGAUUCUGACCCAGGAAGUCUGGGCUGGGCUCCAGCCAAACCAUACUUGUAAUAAGACCUCUGGGAAACUCCCUUGCAGAAAGCUGAAAGACACUGUUUCGAGAAACAUAGCAGAGAAGGUCCCAAUGAUUUCCACCAAAACCCAACUACGUGUCUGCAGGUUCCUCUAUUACUAGGGGUUUUACCCGUCCCAAAGACCGGAUUGAAUGAGACUUAUUUUGGUUUGCUUCUUCAGACACAGCACAGCUACCUUCCUCCUUUUCUCUCUGCUUAGCCUGCUUUGGUUGGUACAUGGGGUAGAGCAGUGGGGCAAACGGGGAUGACUGUUUGCUUGGGUGUUCACUCUCUGUGUGAUGUCGGGCAGGGCAUUGUACGCUUGGGGCUGCAGUUUCCGCACCUCAAAAUGUGCAUGGUCAGGUAAAGGGUAUGAACACGUUAUUGAUCAAGACACUUUGUCUUUUUUGCGACUCAGUUUUCCUUAUCUAUAAGAUGAGAAUGUUGCGCUUUAUGAAUUUGGCGAGUGUAAAUAGGAACUGAGAUUCUCUUUCUGGCAGCUUUUCAUGGUUUCCUUUCUGUGGCAAGGAAAGGAAGAACUUCAACCUCCAGAUUUUGUGUAAAUAUUGAAUCUAUAGCAAUGGUUUUGUGGAGUGUUCCAGUUUCCUAGGCUGAUGAUUAAUGUGGUUUUCUCUGUGAGUGUUGAGCCUUCUCAAAAGGCUUUUCCUGCUAUUCCUGUGAAAUGCACAAAGGCAAAGUGUUAGUCCUGCUUUUUUCUCUAUUGCCAUGUGGAAGGGGGAGCAGAUGCAUUCUGCAUUCCUCACAGGGCAGAAGACAUGUCAGCUGACAGACGUGGGGAGGCAAAACUGGCCUUAAUCUGAUAUGAAUUUCCUGACAAUUACAAUGACCUCCCUGAUCCCAGACCUUUGCUGGCUUUAUAUUGCCUAUCACAUCACACACAGACUUCCCUGUUUGGCCUGCCGUGUCCCCAUCAUUUGGCUUGAGCAGGCUUUGUUAAUCCUAUAUCCUCGAAGUAACUUGAAUUGUGGGGCUUUAACUCACUUUUAUUUAUUUAUUUAUUUAUUUAUUUAUUUAUUUAUUUAUUUAUUUUUAUUAUACUUUAAGUUCUAGGGUACAUGUGCACAACGUGCAGGUGUGUUACAUAUGUAUACAUGUGCCAUGUUGGUGUGCUGCA